CCUACGGGAGGCUGCAGUGGGGAAUAUUGGGCAAUGGGCGCAACCCUGAUCCAGCAACGCCGCGUGAACGAAGAAGGCUUUCGGGUUGUAAACCUCUUUGACAGGGGAAGAGCAUAAGACUGCUCCCUGAAAAAAAGCCACCGCCAACUACGUGCCAGCAGCCGCGGUAAUACGUAGGUGGAAAGCGUUGCACGGAUUGACUGGGUGUAAAGGGCGUGUAGCCGGGAAGGCAAGUCAGAUGUGAAACCCGGGGGCUCAACCUCCGAAUUGCAUUUGAAACUGUUUUUCUUGAGUACUGGAGAGGCAAACGGAAUUCCUUGUGUAGCGGUGAAAUGCGUAGAUAUAAGGAGGAACACCAGUGGCGAAGGCGGUCUGCUGGACAGCAACUGACGGUGAGGCGCGAAAGCGUGGGGAGCAAACAGGAUUAGAUACCCGAGUAGUC
rnacentral:rRNA from 1 species